GAUGAACGCUAGCUACAGGCUUAACACAUGCAAGUCGAGGGGCAGCACAGUGUAGCAAUACACGGGUGGCGACCGGCGCACGGGUGCGUAACACGUAUCCAAUCUGCCCGUUACUCAGGGAUAGCCUUUCGAAAGAAAGAUUAAUACCUGAUGUUAUGUGAUAUCGGCAUCGUAAUUACAUCAAAGAUUUAUCGGUAACGGAUGAGGAUGCGUAUGAUUAGCUAGUUGGUAGGGUAACGGCCUACCAAGGCGACGAUCAUUAGGGGUUCUGAGAGGAAGGUCCCCCACACUGGAACUGAGACACGGUCCAG
rnacentral:rRNA from 1 species